rnacentral:piRNA from 1 species
UGUGAGGGUGUUUCCNCUAGCUAGGAAAG